GGCACUCUGGAGAAGUCUGCCGGAUAUCCGGCAGGGGCCGAAGGGGCAAGCGCGCAGGACGCGUCAAUCUCUCAGGCAAAAGGACAGAAAGGU
rnacentral:ncRNA from 1 species